CAAAGGCUUGGUCCUGGCCUUACUAACAACUCUAACUAAACUUACACAUGCAAGUAUCCGCACCCCUGUGAGAAUGCCCUACAGUUCCCUGAUUGGGAACAAGGAGCUGGUAUCAGGCACCCUAACCCAUCCGCCCACGACACCUUGCUUAGCCACACCCUCAAGGGAACCUCAGCAGUGACAAACAUUAGGCCAUAAGUGAAAACUUGACUCAGCCAAAGUUAAGAGGGCCGGUAAAACUCGUGCCAGCCACCGCGGUUAUACGAGAGGCCCAAGUUGUUAAUCACCGGCGUAAAGCGUGGUUUAGAAGCCCAGACCCACUAAAGCCGAACACCCUCCAAACUGUCGUACGCUUCCGAGGGUAAGAAACCCAAUUCGCGAAAGUAGCUUUAUAACAUCUGACCCCACGAAAGCCAGGAAACAAACUGGGAUUAGAUACCCCACUAUGCCUGGUCCUAAACAUUGAUGGCACAUCACACCUGCCGUCCGCCAGGGUACUACGAGCAUCAGCUUAAAACCCAAAGGACUUGGCGGUGCUUCAGAUCCACCUAGAGGAGCCUGUUCUAAAACCGAUAACCCCCGUUCAACCUCGCCCCUUUUUGCCUACCCGCCUAUAUACCACCGUCGUCAGCUUACCCUGUGAAGGCCGCAUAGUGAGCAAGACUGGCAUAAAACCCUGAACGUCAGGUCGAGGUGUAGCUAAUAAAGGGGAAAGAAAUGGGCUACAUUCACUAAUUCAGUGUACACGAAUGGUGUAAUGAAAACUUAUACACAGAAGGAGGAUUUAGUAGUAAGCAGCAAAUAGAGAGUCUUGCUGAAUUUGGCUCUGAAGCGCGCACACACCGCCCGUCACUCUCCCCAAGCCCCCAUACCACAUACCUAAACAACCAAAAUCGCUAAGGGGAGGCAAGUCGUAACAUGGUAAGCGUACCGGAAGGUGCGCUUGGUAGAU
rnacentral:ncRNA from 1 species